rnacentral:rRNA from 1 species
ACAUGCAAGUCGAACGAUGAAACCUAGCUUGCUAGGUGGAUUAGUGGCGCACGGGUGAGUAAUAUAUAGGUAAUGUGCCUCUUAGUCUGGGAUAGCCAUUGGAAACGAUGAUUAAUACUGGAUACUCCUUCUAACUCUAAUGUUAGUCGGGAAAGUUUUUCGCUAAGAGAUCAGCCUAUAUCCCAUCAGUUAGUUGGUAAGGUAACGGCUUACCAAGGCAAUGACGGGUAGCGGGUUUGAGAGGAUGAUCCGCCACACUGGUACUGAGACACGGACCAGACUCCUACGGGAGGCAGCAGUGAGGAAUAUUGCACAAUGGGGGAAACCCUGAUGCAGCAACGCCGCGUGGAGGAUGACGCAUUUCGGUGUGUAAACUCCUUUUAUAUGUCAAGAAAAUGACGGUAGCAUAUGAAUAAGCACCGGCUAACUCCGUGCCAGCAGCCGCGGUAAUACGGAGGGUGCAAGCGUUACUCGGAAUCACUGGGCGUAAAGGACGCGUAGGCGGAUUGGAAAGUCAGAUGUGAAAUCCUACAGCUUAACUGUAGAACUGCAUUUGAAACUUCUAAUCUAGAGUAUGGGAGGGGGAGAUGGAAUUAGUGGUGUAGGGGUAAAAUCCGUAGAUAUCACUAGGAAUACCGAAAGCGAAGGCGAUCUCCUGGAACAUUACUGACGCUAAGGCGUGAAAGCGUGGGGAGCAAACAGGAUUAGAUACCCUGGUAGUCCACGCCCUAAACGAUGAACACUAGUCGUCGGGAUGCUUGUCAUCUCGGUGAUGCACUUAACAGAUUAAGUGUUCCGCCUGGGGAGUACGG